UGGCGGACGGGUGAGUAAUGUCUGGGAAACUGCCUGAUGGAGGGGGAUAACUACCGGAAACGGUAGCUAAUACCGCAUAACGUCGCAAGACCAAANAGGGGGACCUUCGGGCCUCUUGCCAUCGGAUGUGCCCAGAUGGGAUUAGCUUGUUGGUGGGGUAACGGCUCACCAAGGCGACGAUCCCUAGCUGGUCUGAGAGGAUGACCAGCCACACUGGAACUGAGACACGGUCCAGACUCCUACGGGAGGCAGCAUG
rnacentral:rRNA from 1 species